rnacentral:rRNA from 1 species
UACGUAGGGGGCAAGCGUUGUCCGGAAUCAUUGGGCGUAAAGAGCGUGUAGGCGGCUCGGUAAGUCCGCUCUGAAAGCCCGGGGCUCAACCCCGGGAGGCGGGCGGAUACUGUCGAGCUAGAGUCCGGAAGAGGCGAGUGGAAUUCCUGGUGUAGCGGUGAAAUGCGCAGAUAUCAGGAGGAACACCGAUGGCGAAGGCAGAUCUCUGGGCCGUAACUGACGCUGAGGAGCGAAAGCGUGGGGAGCGAACAGG